GCCUACGGGGGGCAGCAGUGGGGAAUAUUGGACAAUGGGGGGAACCCUGAUCCAGCGACGCCGCGUGAGUGAAGAAGUAUUUCGGUAUGUAAAGCUCUAUCAGCAGGGAAGAAAGAGAUGACGGUACCUGACUAAGAAGCCCGGGCUAACUACGUGCCAGCAGCCGCGGUAAUACGUAGGGGGCAAGCGUUAUCCGGAUUUACUGGGUGUAAAGGGAGCGUAGACGGCGAUGCAAGUCUGAAGUGAAAGGCGGGGGCCCAACCCCCGGACUGCUUUGGAAACUGUAUAGCUGGAGUGCAGGAGAG
rnacentral:rRNA from 1 species